UAUUAAAAAAUAUUUUUAUUUCUUUUCUUUAAUUUUGAUCAUUUUCUCAAUGAUGAAUUUCUUGCUUUACAAUAAAGAGUGAUACUGGUACUGCAGAUCAAGGGCAAACCUGGAAAGCGAGUGAGACUCACGGUUACUGCGACGUUACAUUCAAUUGUUGUGUAUUGAUUGAUCUCUCUCUAUAUAUGCUAUUGUUAAAUAUAUUUUUAUUUUUCUUCUUUAACUUUGACUCAAUAUUAUAUCAAUAUUAGAUCUUAAGAUAACGAGUUAUUUAUAAUACUGUCAUGCGAUGCUAAAAUCAAGAGCAAAUCUGGAAAGUGAGAUUCGCGGUUGCUGUCGGCGCUACAUUCACCUAUUGAGUAUCAAUUGACCUAUGCUAAACAAUAUUUAAUCAAAAUUAUAUCUCAGAUUCUGUUUCCCCAUAUAAUUUUUAUUAUUGAUAGAAUAAAACCUCUUUAACUAGUAAUGUGCUAAAACCAUUUUUGCUUAUUUAACUUUUAUAUAAUACUAUUUCUUCAUCCUUUUUCGGUUAAAAUAUACACGUACAUUGAAUUUGAUCAAUUGACAUUAGUAGAUAAAAUGCAAGCGCGCGUGUGCUACAAUGACACGAGGAAUUCUAAGGCAAGGGGUUAAAGCGCACUCGAGGGCUGAUAAACGUCUAAGCAAAACUUUAAUAAAAGCCCCAAGCGUACGCGGGAUUUCCACAUUUCCCGGAUGGACUUUUGCAGAAGCACAAAUAACAAAAUACAAGUACAGCUUUGCAUUUCACCCUAAGAGGAAUCUACUUUAAUGGAAGUUCCACUUGAAUUUAUUAAUUCCAUUUGAAACGUUAAUUGGGAUCUUUUAUGUCAACAACAACAAAAUAUUGAAAAUAUUGGGAAAUCUUGUGAAACGAUAUUCUGUAUGUUCACAUCUUGCUUAAGAUUAUGUAGUUACUGUAUCGCAAAUUGUUUACCGCUGUUUAUACCGACCGUGCGCUUUUGUUAUUCUAUCUUUCGUUGAUUACAAAACGCGCUACAGUUUAUUGCCUUCGGGCAGUGUGCGAUCGAUUGUAUUGAGAAAAACUGCGUAUUAAAACUUGACGCAGCCGCGGUCGAACGAUUUUGCACAGAGAGCCACGUGUAUAAUAAUUGCAUACCGUGAGUAAUCCGGUCCACAAUUAGUCUUUAAAAAUAAUAAUCAAAAUAAAGACUAGCUUUGCGACACUGCCCUGCGUGAUGAUCCUAGUAGACAAUCGGAGUCGCAACGAAGUUAUAGAGUGAUUCUCGAUAAGUUAAUUGAACCCGACAGAAUGGUAUAAUCCGAGUUCACGCAAUCUCAUUAUGAAUCUUACACGCCUCCAUUACGCUUCUCAUCGAUAGAGAUAUUAUACACGAGCGAUCGUUCGAACGCGAUAAUCUCCGGCGCGGGAAGCCGUUCUGAAAUGCGCUUAGGGGAAACUUUCUUAAUUUACGCUCGUCGAUAUUCCCAAGGCCGGUGUAUUUUCUCGGCGAGUGCACGACGAUGCUCACGAUGCCGGAAAGUGCUUCUUGGCGAACGCACUCCAUUGCCAAGGCUAGCUCAAAGGCCUGCGUGCACUCGGCCGCUUCUCUCUCUCUCAUUCUUUCUUUCCCUCUUUUUUUUCUUUUUUCCUCUAGCGCUUUUCAAGUAAAAAAACGGACGACACCCUCUUAGUACACUGAAAUUGGUGAAGCUCUUUGCAGUCCUUUUUUGGGCGCGGGAAAACGUGCAGUUACCUAGACAUAGGCUCGUGUUUUCGCUGCGCAAAUGAAGAUGUUGAAAAGCGAGUGAUCUUAUGUUAAAUCACCGGAUGAGUAAUUUUAUACGAAAAUCUGACGGAUACAUGUAAAAGUUAUAAAUAGUCAUUUAAAGAGUUAAAUAGCGUAAAAUUAAAAUUCAAACAUUUUUUGCGCCAGAAACGGAGUCACUGGCUCGCUUCGUUACGCGCAAUUACGUCAAUUAUCGUGAUCAUCGCAAAUAUUAAUAUUUUCAGUCGUCAGCCAACUUUGAUGAAGCUUUAGGAAGGCUUUAACGCGCGCGAUUAAUAUCUCAAACUCUCAUCGUCGCUCGCAUCACUGCCAAGGCCGCUCGAAGGCCGGGCAUAGCUCGAAAGCCUGGCUUUUCCAGCACGUUUAUCCACCCCGAACGAAGAUCAACGACCCUGGCCAACGGGGCAGGACGUAAGGGGCGUCGCUAUGAUGGCGCUUGUCAUAGUGAACAUCAUUAUCGUCAUCUAGGAAGAGAGUGAUUAUCGUUGGAAUCAUCGUGCGAGUUAUCACGCUGGAAAUAUACUUGUAGCUUACUUUGUCAAUGUACAAAUUGAUUUGGUUAACGAAAACAAUGUUCGUUUAAUAACUUUUUGACGGAAAUCAGAGUCGACUUUUCCCAUAAAAAAUAGAUUUUUAUUGACAAUCUCGUUUAACAAAAAUUGAAGUAGAUUUUUAUUCAUGGAACUCAAAAAUAAUUCUUGUUGAAAUAUUGGAUUGACCGGAAAGCCCGAACGGAUUUUUUUAGCAAACUUCAAGCGCAAAACUUUACGCAUUAAGAAAUAAAAUAAAAUAAUAAAACAGAAAACGUUUUCUGAUCAAAAUUACGGUCCACUGUGACUGUAGUCAAAGUUGCAUGGCCUUCGGAAUCGAAAAAGUAUGGCUUGAGAUUUAUCAUUCGCCACAUACUGAAAUAUGCGCGAGAAUCCGCGUUUUCCUUUUUCCUAUAAACCACAGGAAAGUCCGCAGGUUACUUCGAGUCUCCAUACUUUCCGUAAAGUUCGCGCAAUAAUUUAAAGGACCGGAUUUUCCUGAAAGCGUGACACGCGGAACAGGAAGAAGAGAGAAACGAACGCCGACUGCUUCUAGCAGGCAGCUGUGCGCUGCCACUUUUAACUUAGCUUCGCGUAAUCCGUUUACGUGCACGUGUGUGUGUGUGUGUGUGUGUGUGUGUAACCGUUGAGAAAUGGUCGGGCGACGCACCGUGCAUUCCGGAAGUGCUUCCAGAUUCAUCCUAUCUUCAGCAAUGUUCAUCUCUCAGCCGAAAGCGACGAUUAGGUAUUAAACUCGAUAAUACAUCUAACAGAACGUGUUUUUUCGUGGACAUCAUGAAGAGGAUUCCGUAGAAUUGCUUCCUUUCCUCCCCCUCUCUCGCGCGAUUUAUCGCUAUAAUAAUUUUUUAUUCUUACAGGAACUGGAUUAUUCAGAUUCAUCAUAAGAUAUAAGGUACAAUUAUUUUUUAAGUUUUAAUGAAUAAAAAUACCAAUUUAUUUACGACCGCGCUUUGUCUGCUAUUUUCAACUUUUCUGUUAUUUUUAUUUCUGUUAUUAACUCUUUCUGUUUAUUAAACAAACACUAACCUACAGAUGUAAAUAAUUGCAUUUUAUAUUUUUUUUACAUAUAAUAUAACAAUAUUCAUUGCAUAUUGGUCACCGGUGACCGACAAAACAUUAGCUGAAAGUUCAGUGUCGGUCACGGGUGACUGUCAUGGCGACGAAUGUGUUAAAAAUAAAAUGUUAUUGCAUUUAUAAAUUAUUUAUAUUAUGAUGUAAUCUUAUAAACUACGACACACCGAUUUUCAUAAACUUUUAAAUUACUAUUGGAGCAACGAGACAGCUUGAUGCAUCUUUUAUAAACGGCAUCAUACAUUCUCUCUUAUUACUAUCAUUUUUUCAUGCCGAUUGCAUUACUAAUGAAAAAUACUUCGUUCUCGGUGAGUUGCCAGCAUGAGUCCAUUGCUUUGAUGUGUUUUAUAAGUCAUAUGCGUUUCAUUUGGUCUAUACAUAUAUUCGUAAUCCUGCGAGAGUGCAACCUGUGUCGCGAGCGUUUAUCCCUUAACGGUUAAGGCUUAACCCAUGGUAUGAAUAUAUGUAAAUAUAAUAUUUACAUCAUCUUAGAUUCUAAUUAAACUUUUGAUGUGUUAAAUGACAACGAGUAAAGGCGCGAUACCACUUACCCAUACCUCAGGGCAAGGGUGAGCUGGGCCUGAUUCUGGGGAGCCGAUUCCCGAUUGAAAAUCCUUCAAAACAUCGGAAGUUACGGAGGGAUGACCCCACCUCUCUGUAUUUGGAAUAGGCCCGCAAGAGCAGCAGGUUUCGAAAAGUCUUGCAGGAUGUACAGGCCCCGGUUCUGGGAGGGCCUUGGAAGUUAUGCCUUCAGGCGCGCCUAGGUUUCCCUCAACAUGCGCAUGAAAUCACACGAGGGUUGGUCAUGCUCGGGUGGUCUCUCGCACACGCCUUGUGUGUGUGUUGGCGAUAUUUCUAGCGGCGAGGCCGACGCACCAUGGCCCAGUUUAAUGCCUCUGGGCGAUGCCGGCCUACAUCGACCGAUGCGUAUUUACGUACAUGCGGGCGGCGACGACGACGCGACGGCUGACGCCCGGCGCGCACUUAACUUCUCGUGCGCGGAAACACCCGCGAGAUAUGAAGCACGCGCGGAAUGCAAAGUGCCGCACAUUUGUGAAGUUAAUCCCGAAUUUCUUGAAUUUUGUAACUCUCAAAAAAGAUUCAUUGUUAACACAAAAUCUUACGAUCCAAUAAAAGUAAAAUUCAUUUUAAAAUUGAAAAUGCACACUCCGUAUAUCUUAUAUAGCGCAAACUUUAAAUUACUGAAAGUUGAGUUACUCCUCGCGCAUUUCCGCUGUUUCCUGUUUGUGCAAUGUUUCUUCUUUUAUUUUGACCGUGAAUGCAAUGCAUAAUUUAAUUUGGUCGCGCCUGAAUUCUUCGUAAAGUUACUUUUUAAAUGGUAAGACGAAAAACAGCGAACCGUACUGAAAAUAGAUGCAGCUGGCAGUUGCGACGUUCGCAACGGAGCAAAAACUUCCUGGUCGCGUGUUAGCGCCGAUUGUUGUGUAACAUUUUUCCGGCGAUGUUCUUUCUGUAAAAUUGAUUUUCUUCCCGAUAGACUUUGUAGGUUAAAUUAAAUAUAUGAAGCUAUAAAUACACUGCCACGGAUUACUUCUUAUAUAUCAAAGUUUAUCCGUUCUACAACUGGCGCAAAAAACAAAGAAUUAUGAGAUAUCAUUUUUCCAAAAUAAUGAAAAUAUGGAAAUCGGCGAGAAAUGUUUCAUGUGCACAAAUAAAUGUUUUCAUUCAGCUGUAUGAAUUAAAUGACUUUAUCAUCGCGUGUUGUGAAAUAAUAUUAUAAUUUGUAAAAUUGCCAUUUGCGUGCGUAACAUAAUUUUAUGGACGUCUGUACUUUCUUUUGUUAUAAUCCGCUUGGGACACGGCGGGUAAU